rnacentral:rRNA from 1 species
UCUUGCACAAUGGGCGCAAGCCUGAUGCAGCAACGCCGCGUGCGCGACGAAGGCCUUCGGGUCGUAAAGCGCUUUUCUGGAGGAAGAGAACGGACGGUACUCCAGGAAGAAGGCUCGGCUAACUACGUGCCAGCAGCCGCGGUAAAACGUAGGAGCCAAGCGUUAUCCGAAUUUACUGGGCGUAAAGCGCGUGCAGGCGGCCUGGCAAGUGGAUUGUGAAAUCUCCCGGCUCAACUGGGAGGGGACGGUCCAAACUGCCGGGCUGGAGGCAGGUAGAGGGAGGUGGAAUUCCCGGUGUAGUGGUGAAAUGCGUAGAGAUCGGGAGGAACACCCGUGGCGAAAGCGGCCUCCUGGACCUGACCUGACGCUCAGACGCGAAAGCUAGGGGAGCGAACGGG